AACGAACGUUGGCGGCGUGGAUGAGGCAUGCAAGUCGAACGUGAAAGCCGCAAGGUGAGUAGCGUGGCGGACGGGCGAGUAACACGUGAUCAAGCUGCCUGCGAGACGGGGAUAACUUCGGGAAACCGAAGCUAAGACCCGAUGGUCUGCGAGGGACGCAUGUUCUUUGCAGUAAAUGGGCGGGAUCCUUCGGGAUCGCC
rnacentral:rRNA from 1 species